rnacentral:misc_RNA from 1 species
GAUAUUGUCAGUGAACUGAUGCACAGUAACGGCAUGGAUAGUGAUCCAGAAAGUGAGGGAGGACUCAGUGGACCAAUGGGCAGUGACUUUGAGGUCGUUGAUGAAUGCGAGGAGGAGACAUGAAAGUGUAUGUCAGCCCCGUGGAAGUGAAAGGAGUAUGAAGGGGACCUGAAGGUGUAGGCGGGCCCUUCAUAGGUGGAUGGAGUAUGAAGGGGCACCUGUGUACGAGGUGUUCUGAGGUAGAUGCUCAUGAUGUAAGAUAACCUGAGGCAGACGUUGAAGUGUUCCUAUGAAAAGAUUGAAGUCUGGUUCUAAUAACAGUCUAUAUACUCUGAUUAUGAAUAGUGUAACUAUUCUCCAGUCAGUGCCCGCCCGCCAUUGUUACAUUUUUAAAUCAUUAUUAUGAUUGUCACAAACAUUUUUAUCAUGUAUAUUGUUCGCAUGUUAGACAUGAAAUCCUUGUUUUGUCUUGUUUUGUAUUAAAAGAUUGAAUCAUGUUAAUUUG